rnacentral:rRNA from 1 species
AUUGAACGCUGGAGGCAGGCCUAACACAUGCAAGUCGAACGAGUGGCGGACGGGUGAGUAAUGUCUGGGAACUGUCUGAUGGAGGGGGAUAACUACUGGAAACGGUAGCUAAUACCGCAUACUAUCGGAUAAACCCAAUGGGAUUAGCUAGUAGGUGAGGUAAUGGCGCACCUUGGCGACGCUCCCUAGAUGGUCUGAGAGGAUGAUCAUCAACACUGGGACUGAUACACGGCCCAGACUCCUACGGAGGCAGCAGUGGGGAAUAUUGCACAAUGGGCGCAAGCCUGAUGCAGCCAGGCCGCGUGGAGGAAGAAGGCCCUAGGGUUGUAAAGUACUUUCAGUCGGGAGGCGUUACCGACAGAAGAAGCACCGGCUAACUCCGUGCCAGCAGCCGCGGUAAUAC